GGAGAGAUGGCCGAGUGGUCGAAGGCACACCUUUGCUAAAGGUGCAGACCCCAAAAGGGUCUCGAGGGUUCGAAUCCCUCUCUCUCCGCCA
rnacentral:tRNA from 1 species